rnacentral:rRNA from 1 species
AAUUAGAGCCUAAAUACUCUAAAGGCCACAGACUUUGUCUAAUCUGGGAAGCUGAGCAGGGUCAGGCCUAGUUAGUACUUGGAUGGGUGACUACCAAUGAAUAUUUGGUGUUGUAGGCU